UCAAUUAAAUUGAUUGAAAGAUUAUGUCUUCAUCAUAUGAAAAUCAAACACAAUCCCGUCCGUAAGGGGUUAAGUAUCAUACCAUCAUAAAAUAUACGAGAAGAACAUAACCCGUAUCCUGUUAAAGACGAAUAAGAACUAACUCAGGAAUGUUUUUGAUUUUACUCCUGUCAGAUGCAAUCGUUAAACGUUUAAUUUCUAUAAUUCCUGAUAACACCAAACACCAUCCUCCCUUUUCCUUAAAUCAUUUCAUAUAUAUUUGUCAUUUUCCGUUUUAUGUUUCAUAAUUUUCUCGCUGAGUGUUUGUAUAAAGCUUAGACAGAGUAAAGACUGUAGUUACCUUUUAAACGACUCAUAUACAUAUUGUUAUGUACACGACAAAUCAAUGCGUCAAAACUGAAUGUCAAGGGAAUUGGAUUUUAAAGUAGUCUAUAUGGCCGCCAGGUAGACUAAAUAUUGACGACAAAUUACUCAAAGAUGAGGAUAUGCCUGACUUUUUUCACGAUACUUUGGUUUGUUAUUUCGAACGCAAUGAGUUGUGAAGUUGAAUGGUUUAUAUCAGAACUGCCAAUAGUUUUUGGACAAGAUGUGAAACUUGUUUGUAAUAUUUCUGACACAACGAAUUGUGCUAAAAAUUACUCGAUUAGGAUAUGGUCAAGAGAACCAAAGCAGCAGAUCUUAACCAUGGACGGAAUAUCUGCCAAUGAAUCAAAAUACACAACUGACGAAGGAAAAAACAAAUUUAGCUUGAACAUUAAACAUUUUUCACAAGAAGAUGCAAACCAUAAAUACAGCUGUUUAUAUGGUUUUCACAGAAAUUCUAAAAUUCUUGCAAUUAAUGACAGCUUCGAAACAAAAAGAACUAUCAUCGAACUUAACGACCAAUGUCACAAAGGAUAACUUGUUAUACAACAUGGAGUUUAAUUCUAGUUAUGCUGUGGAGAAUGCUUGGUGCGGUCACCUGCAAGUCUUUUGUACCGUAGGGUUAACAACAUAUGCGAUUAUUGAUGAAUACAUAAAUCAGGAAGAUCAGUCAAAUGAGAAAGCAAAAUGCAUGCAGACAUCACUGGACACAGAAACACCACAGAAUACGAUAACCAUGCUUAUGUUUGGAUUGUUUGGCAUUUCACUUGCUGCAGCAUUUAUUAUUUUGAUAUAUCGUCAAUCUUUUGGAAAAUUCUAUACGUAUAUCCUUUCCAUUUCUCUUAGAAAUGAAAAUCCAAACGCAAACAUGGAAACAAAUGAAGAAAAUAUUUUACUUACUGAUUUGACCAAUGAGAUAAAAGAUCUAACCAUUGAACAAUGUUGAUUUUUCAAGAAUUAAAAUAUGAAUAGUCGCCACUGAAGGUAUAGGUUUCAUAAUCAGUGAAAAUUUGAUAUUGCUUGAUAUCAAUUCUCGUUUAUUUUUAAUUUUGAUAAAAAAUACACUCGCCAAAUGUUAACUUAUUAUUACAUUGAUAUUAAAUGACUCUUAUUGAUAUCAAGCGGUAUACAAUUCUCACUCAUUAUGAAAGCUUAUAAUAAACCAUUUUUACAAUUAACCCCAUGUUUGUAUGCUACUUGGUUUUUUAAUGCACAGUAUUGAAGUUAUUCUGAGAUAUAAAUUAUUUAGUCCACAUCGUACGCAUAUUGUCUACCUCAACAGCUCUAUAGUCUACCUCAGUAUUUAAAUUUUAUUGGAUUUACCUUUAUUGCCUAUCAUAUGUUUUUAUUUUGCAAUAUUUGUUUUUUUUAUUUAUGCUUGUCAUUCUUUUUGCUUUUACCUUUUGUUUAAUGUAUACAUGAUAGAAUAAACAGGAAUUGUAUAGACAGGAAGUCACAAUGGUAAUAUGCAUGCUUUAAUUUUUGCUUUUUUCAUGAUUUUGUUAUGUAUCGCAAGUUUUAUAAAUUAAGUGAUGAACAUCCAUUUUGCACCUAGUUUUUGAUAAAGUUGGUAAUGAGCCAAGGCCUUACUGAGACUAAUUAUUUGAAUAGAAUCAUUAUGUUUGUAUACAAAUAUCUUCUGACAAUUUUUUGUUUUGUUUUUUAAAACCUUGGCAGUCCUGAAUAAUAUGAGUAGAGUUUGACGCCUUUAUGAAAAUACAUGUAUGUAGGACUAAAUCCAAAAACAGAACUAAAUCCAAAUUCAAAUAGUUCUGAUAUCUAACAGAAUAUGCUUUAUGAACAUCUGAAUAGAUUUUAAAUACUUUUUGAUUUAAGAAAUUCAAGGAACCAAAAACGGUACCAAAUCCAACCUUCUCGUUUUAUUCAUUUUGUGACAUUUGUUCAUUAGGAUUACACUAUAUAUAGUUGUCAUAUCAGGGUUUGGCGACUAAACAAGACGGCAAUACAGCAAGGAAAUAGGGCAAAUAUUUGUAACUAUAAAUAAUUGUAUAGUGAUAUUUUAUCUGGUUUCAACGAAUUAUAAUACAUACUUUGUUAACGUAAAUUUAUGACUUUCAAAGAUGAAUAACAUUUAGAUAAAGAUACACUGAAUAAUUUGAUAUAUACUUAUCGCACUACAUGCUGAUUAUGCACAUUGGUAUUAAAAUAUCGAACACCUGGAUCUACUUAUGUGUCAUUUAGAUUGUUAUAUUCAAAUUUUGUUCAUACAAGUUCAUUAUCUUUUUUGCUUCUGUUAUUUGAUUACUUUAGCAAUUAUAUUGUUAUUUAAAACUACGACUAUGUGAAUCCUCUUAUAGCUGCAAAGUGAAAAGCAUAUAUAUAUAUACAUAUAUGUAUAUAUAUAUAUAUAUGCGUCUACAUAUGUGACAACCUUACGACAGACGUUCGCCAUCGGAUAACCCAGGAUUAUUAUGUGCUAACAAUAUUGUGUGGACAACGCUAACAAUGCUUUCUUUGACUAGUUCAUAGUUUCUGCAAGGACCAGAACCAAUGAUCAUGCAUAUCCCCUAAUAGAUAUGUAGAAACUCAUAACUGUUUUCGUUUAAAAGUCUAAAAUAUAUUUCCCUCAAAUGACUAAAAUCAGCGAUUAAAAAAAAAAACAUCAUAUCUUACAUAUAUUCAAAAGUUAUUAUUCAUAUUUAUUGUGAAAUGUGUUCAUUUACAUGGAUAAUGAACUUUUGUUUGUACAUUGUUUAAAUAUACAUAAAAAUAGUGUUUAACUAUUGUGUGUCUCUUUAUUUUGAUUGUAGAAAUAUUAAUAUAUUUUUUUUUGUAUUCAUAGGUGAAAUUAUGAAACAAUUUUAUAAAAACAAUGAAGUCUAGCAAAUAUCAUUAAAAGUAAAACUGUUACACUAUACAGUAGAAAGAAAUAAUAAGGACGAAUCGUUGUACAAUAUACUUCCCCUUCUGAAUUCUUAUCAACGAAAUCAUGAAAUAUUCUGACCAUAACCAUUAAAAAUUGCAGUAUUAUAGAUGAACAAGUUAUGCAUAGUCAUCAUAAUGAAACAAAUACUUUAUUUGUUUUAUAAUUGAUGACAUUGUUAUUUAAUUUUAAACAACUAUAUCAUGAUAAAUGCCGUGUGACUAUGUUAGCUGUCAAAUUCAUAAUCAUCGAUUUAACUCAAAUUCUCAUAUUUGAUUUAUAACAUACUAAAACGUAUAUCAGAAUUACAAAAAGUCUAAAAUAAACAAUUGACAAUGCAUGGACUCGAUAAUAUGUAUCAACAUUUCGUGUGUCUUUCUGUCUAGACGUUAUCUAAUUAACCAUCGAGAUGACCUCUCAAGACUGCCGAUGGUCAUAUAACCCGAUAUAAACAUAAAUAUAAAUAUAAACAGAUAGCGACCACGUGCAAUUGGAUUUUUCUAGAUCUGUUUGAUUUCAUAUUGUAGGUUAAUAGUAUGUUUAUCAUCGAUUUUACCUGUAUAAGAAUGAGUUUUUGUGGAUCGAAUCAGUCAACCAAAUGGUUCGUCCUUGUUUCACUUUCAAUGUUGACAUUAUUUUCCUUUUGAUAGCUAAAUACAUGCGUAACCCAUUUCCAGCUAAGGGGUUAAAUUAAAGGUCACAUGAAUACGGAUUCAAGGAGGUCGAAUUAUCGACUUGCCAGUUAAUAAUUCAUCAGCGAUGUUUCUUAGAUUAUUUUGACAAAAUUGACCCAAAUUGGCUGCUAAAAGCGAAUUAUUAUUUCAUUAUAUCACUUUCAUUAAUGAUUGAACAAAAAAAAAGGGUAAUAUUUAGUUUUUAUUUAUAUCUCGUAGCUAAUGCCCCUUUAAUACCUAAUAGUAUAUAUUAGGCAGUAGAAACAAAGUAUAUGAUACCGUACUUUAUUAUGUAUGUGUGUUGCAUUGUUUCGGAACUUGCGGCUAUUAUAUACUAGGUGUGAACUACAAUAUUACUUUUUUAAAGACGCUUUAUCGUUAAGAGAUCAUAUAUUGACUUGUUUGAGACUUUUAGAUUCUCGUGUCGUUUGACUGAUGACAUAUAUCAUAUUUUGUUUAUUAACCAUAGCAAUAAGCAAUAUUUUCAUUUUUUUAUAUGUUAUGGUACAUAUGCAUAUUUGUAUAUUACUUAUAAUCGGCAAGGCUGCUUGUCAUUUAUCAUAAAUUUUAUAUUUACAUUUUUAACAUCUGGUAUAUUAAUAGUAUAAUAAAACUGACAUUAAUUAUGCAUUGAGAUAUGUUACAGAUAACAAAUGCACUAUAUUUCAAACCUUAACAUUGCUAUUAAAAUAACGAUUAUUUAUAAAUAGUUAUAGAUACAAUGGAGGGCAUUUUUCAUGUUAUACAUGUUAAAUACAACGUGUAUGUAUAGAGUGUUUAUUAUCUGUUUUGCUUCAAUUUGUAUUAGCAACUUUUCUGUGUACGCAUAUUGAUACGAAAAAAAGAAUGGUAUAUUUUUAA